rnacentral:misc_RNA from 1 species
UGGUUCUGGCAUCGAUGAAGAACGCAGCGAAAUGCGAUAAGUAAUGUGAAUUGCAGAAUUCAGUGAAUCAUCGAAUCUUUGAACGCAUAUUGCGCCCUUUGGUAUUCCGAAGGGCAUGCCUGUUCGAGCGUUAUUAUCAACUAUCAAGCCUGGCUUGUUAUUAGACUCUUGGUUCUAGGACCGGUCUUAAAGAUAAUAGGUAAGACCUCAUGGCUCUCAGUAUAACAAGCUUUUUUAUAGCAUAUAUCUGUAGACCUGUGGUCCUACCUUUAAACCCCAAUUUUCUCAGGUUAACCUCGGAUCAGGUAGGAAUACCCGCUGA